GGCGAACGCUGGCGGCAGGCAUAACACAUGCAAGUCGAACGAACUCUUCGGAGUUAGUGACGGACGGUUGAGUAACACGGGGGAACGUGCAUUUUGGAUGGGAAUAACGCUGGGAAACUUGAGCUAAUACCGCAUGUGCCGUUAGUGGGACAGAUUUAUCGCCAUUGGAGCGGACUGCGUCUGAUUAGCUGGUUGGUGAGGUAAAGGCUCACCAAGGCGACGAUCAGUAGGUGGGCUGAGAGGAUGACCAGCCACAUUGGGACUGAGACACGGCCCAAACUCCUACGGGAGGCAGCAGUGGGGAAUCUUGCGCAAUGGGCGAAAGCCUGACGCAGCCAUGCCGCGUGGAUGAUGAAGGUCUUAGGAUUGUAAAAUCCUUUCAUCGGUGAAGAUAAUGACUGUAGCCGGAGAAGAAGCCCCGGCUGACUUCGUGCCAGCAGCCGCAGUAACAC
rnacentral:rRNA from 1 species